UGCCUUUCAGUGCUUUGGGUCUUGAUCAAUUGGAGAGGAGCCCAAGAGCCAUUUUUCAUCCUGAGAUACAAAAGGGAUCGGUGAAUUUUAAAUUUGGAGUCCUCUAUGCUAAGGAUGGUCAGCUUACAGAUGAUGAAAUAUUCAGUAAUGGGAAAGACUCUCGUGUCCUGGUCGUCAGGCUCAGUGCUGCCCGAAAAGAUACAGAGACUAAAAA